rnacentral:lncRNA from 1 species
CUAUACAAACCUAAUUGGGGGUAUAACGAACGCGUUGGUGCGCUCGGUUCGUCGAUACGAAGAGUCUACGCGAAGUUAUUGACGAAAACGUUAUUUUUCGUACAGAUAGCCGCAGCACGCGGAAUAAACGUCUAAAAAUCACGAAAACGGAUCCGGAGCAUCUUGGCAUCAAGAUAAGUAUAGAGCAAUUCCCGGAUUUCGGAUUGGUGGCCGUUCGGGUGGUCGCGCAAGAGUUCGGGCCAAACCGGGCAACGGGUGCCGCGGGAGGCCGAUUGCAAGUGUCGACAAGCAAUCGGAACGCGUUAAGAGGUGGGUUGUGUUUACCGAAGCGACUAGGUCGCCUCUAUGUCUAAGAAUAGUGUGGUUUCAUAUUGAUGCAUGCUAAUGACAUAAAGUAGAAAUGCUAAUGAGAAUGCAUGUUACAUGUUAUAGAAAUGCUAAGUGAACGCAUAUGAUUUGAUAUAGAAAUACUAAAUGGAAUGCAUGUUGACCUAAUGAAAGAAUGCUAAGUAAAUGCAUGAGUUGAUGUUAAUUUACAUGAGCUAGAUGUCAAAUGAAUGCAUAGAGUAUAUGCUAGUCAAGAAUGCAUAAGUUAAAUGCUAGAAAAAUGCAUAUUGACAUAAUGUAAGAAUGUUAAGAAAAUGCAUGUUUGCAUGUUAUACAAAUGCUAGAUGAAGCAUGAGUUAAAUGCAUGUAUAAGAUGUAUGUUAAGUAAACACAUGAACUAAGUGCAUGAUUGAGAUACUAAUGAUGAAUGCAUAAGACAUAUGCCUACAUAUAAAUGUGAACUAAGAUUAAUGAACUCUAAGUAGAGUAAAGAACUUGACAUUGUAAAGUAAGAACAUCGAGUGGCAUGUCAAUUGAGAAUCUUAAGUAUAAAUAACUAGGAUGAUGAGUGGCAAUGAAACCUAGUGUCAUUGAACAUAGGUUAAGAAUUGAACCUAGCGUCAAGAACAUAGGUUGAACAAGAGUGUAACACACUGGACCUUUGCAAAUUCCGAGGUUCGAGUGUUUGAACUUUCAGAUAUUCUGGAGGGUCAUGGACAGUGGUCCGACCCAUGGCUCGCCUCCCAAGGAAUAUAGUAUUUUAUGUAGCGCUAAGAUCACUAAAGAGUUGGACUUAGCCUACCCUCGGAUCGCAUUCUGCUUAUAGUGAAACCGGUGACAGGUUGAUGGCUGUACCGGUACACAUUUUGUACCGGUACACUUUGAUGGUUGUACCGGUACACUUGUGCCGAAUUUCAAACCCGAGCCUCGGGUUUGCAUUUUCACGGGAUUUGUACCAGUACACUUUCCCGUGUACCGGUACACUUUGGCAGAUUUUGAGCAGCUUGAACUGCAGGGGUAUUUUUGCAAUUGUGGACUUCUAUAUGUGUCCCCAUGCCCCCUAGGGCUUCUUCUGAGCUGAGAACCAGAGGAAAGCAAGGUAGGGAGCUCUCCUCUCACCUUCUUUGGAUUUCCUUCCCUUUCUCUUGGAUUUUGGUGGAUUAAUCCCUCUUUUUCUCUCUUGAUGCUUUCCACCAUGGUUGAAGCUUGAGGCUUGGUUUUGAAGCUUGAUUCGGGGAAGAUCCUUGAAGUUUGAGGACUUUGAGCUUGGAUUGAAGCCUCUAAAAGGUUAGAAGCAAGAUCUUUUCCUCUAGAUUUGGUUUUUGAAGGUUUCUUUGAGAUGAAACCCUAGAAUAGGCUUUUAGGGUUGAUUUUGGGCAUUUUGGAUUUAGGGCUUUUGGAGCUCAAUCUCUUGGAUUAGAACCUUCCUCUAAGUUAGAUUGGAAGGAUUCUAGCACUCUUUUGGAGAUUGAGGAGAGAUUUUCACACUAUAGGUGAGUUUUAGCCCUUUUGAUGAUUUGGUUAAUGUUCGAUCACAUGGUUGUUCGUUCGAUUCGCUUAUCCCUUUUAGAAUGUCUUCUAGGGAGCUAGGAGGCUUGUGGACAACUCCGUUCGGCGAAACGAAGGGUUUCGAGACGGUUCGGUGGGUUUGACCUAGCCAAACAAUGAGAAAAUCUCAUUUGUGAUGAUUUGAGUAUCAUAAAAUAAGAAAGCAUGCAUAUUCAUGUUAAAUAUAUUUAUUAUGAAUUUUAGAAUGCUUAAAAUGCCUAUAUUACAUACAUUGUAUUUUCGGACCUCUAUGAAGUAGAAAACUUGUAUGUAAGGCUUAUGUGUGCAUUAGCAUUCUUAUAGGAGACUUGGGGCCAUGUUUCUUAGAGUGGAAAUAGCAUGUGUAAGCGCCUUUGAACAUAAAUUCUCAUUGGGCAUUGAAACUACUACAAUGCCAUAAAGAGGCACUAGACAAGAUUGACAUGUGAAAUUGUGAGCUAAUGUCAUAAAGCGGUAUUGAGCUCGGGAUAUAUGUAAACCUAGUGGAUAGGGCCAUUGAGAGAUUUGGAAAUUGGAACAUGUUUGAAUAUAGAAUUGUCUAAGUGUCAUGAAGGGGCACUAGACUUAGUGAAUAUUGAAACUUCACAUUGUGACAUAGAACUAGAUCAUUGAGAUGCUAGUGACUUUUACCAUAUUAGAGACAUGAUGAUUGGGUAUUUGAGACGUUGACUACGCUUGCUUGCCAUUUGUGCUCAUUCGCACAUGCUUGUGAGGGUCGCUCCCUACAAGCCGGCACUCCGGAGUUAGCCUACGCGACUUAUGUUCGCUCGUGCGGUAUCGAGAAACCAACGGGGUCGGGAGGGAUAGACUCAUUCCUAGAGUGGGAAUGCUGGAGCUACCACCGACACUUAGGUGGCACAAGCUGGACUACACCAUGUAGGUCCUAGAACAUGUUGGAAACAAUGACAUUUAAUCGGGAGAUGACAAUCACUACUAGAAAGGAUUAGUAGUUUGAUUACUAUGACAUACUUAUAGUAUAGUGUUGAGACAUGUAGUAUACUUAAUAGUUUACUUAUUGCAUCAUAAUAUACUUGGUUGCCAUGAAAGAGCAUAAUCAUCAUAUAUUGUUAGAACGGAUCAUGUUAUCUACUUGCUUGCCACGUUGGGACAUAGUAGACAUGCAUGGGGUAUACCACAUCUUGAUAGAAUAUAUGUUCAAUACAUU